UAUGCAGGGGUGUAUCGGCACAGUGCUGUAAUCAGUGCACUUUGAUCCGAAGUUCCCUGCAAGAUCCAAUCUCGGGGAAGAUGGGCAGUUGUAUUUCAUGCAACCUGUUGAAAUUUGCAAUUAUCAUCUUCCCCAAAUUU